rnacentral:rRNA from 1 species
UAUUUAAUAUAGUUAUAUUUGUUUAUUUUUAGAAGCAUAUUUAGGUGAGUAGCGUAAGCGAAAUUUUUUUUAUACUAUAGGAUAUUAGUACUGCGAAGGAAUUAUUGAAAUAAUUGAAAAUAAAAUAUUAAAAAAGUACUUGUAUUUAAGGUACCUUUUGUAUCAGUGGCUAUUAAAAUAGGGUUGUAAGAUUGAGUCUCGAAAAUAAAAGAUCUAUAUGGAUUAUAGAGUUUUUGUGUUAAAAAAAUUUUAAAAAUUUGUAUAGGGGUGAAAUGUUAAUCGGUUUUAUUGAUAUCUAGUAACUUUUGAAAUAAAUUUAGUUUAAGGCAGUAUAGAAGGUUUUUAUUUUUAAAAUUUUUUUAGAGUGUUUUUAGUUCUCGGGGGAUGAGCUCCGGGAAUAAUAUAUAAGAAUGGAAGUUUGUUGUUUUUUGUUUAGGCUUAGAAUUGGCCAUUAGAUAGUGUUAUAAGAUAGAAGCUUAGGAUUAAGAUUUAAUAUUCUUUUUUUAGAAAGAAGUUAUCCCUGAAAUAAAUUUUGGGGAGAAAAUAUGAUAGCAUUAGUAGAUGGGAUAAAUAAGUGGCUCAUGUUUAAGUCAGUCAUUGAUUAUUUUUCUAAAAAUUAUAGUAAAAGAAUUCGGCAAAUAGGAUUUCCGAAUGUUUAACAAAAACAUUUCUUCUUGACGUAAGAGGUAAGGCCUGCUCACUGAGUUUUAAAGAGCCGCAGUAUUUUGACUGUGCUAAGGUAGCAUAAUCAUUAGUCUUUUAAUUGGGGACUGGUAUGAAUGGCUAAACGAGAGAUCUUCUUUUUUUAUUAUAGGAAUUUAAUUUAACUUUUUAGUGAAAAGACUAAGAUGAUUUAGAAAGACGAGAAGACCCUAUAGAGUUUUGUAUAAUAAAGAAUUUUGUUUUAUUAGUAGUAGACGAAUGAAGUUUGGUUUUAUACUUUGUUGGGGCGACAUUGAGAUACAAGAAACUCUUAAUUUUAAAAACUUUAAUAAAGGAAUUGCUUGACCCUCUAUAAGAGAUCACAAGAAAAAAUUACCUUAGGGAUAACAGCGUAAUCUUUUUUGAGAGUUCAAAUCGACAAAAAGGUUUGCGACCUCGAUGUUGGAUUAAAAUUUAGGCAAGGUGCAGUAGUUUUGCUUUAGGGUCUGUUCGACCCAUAAUAUUUUACAUGAUCUGAGUUCAGACCGGCGUAAGCCAGGUUGGUUUCUAUCUUCUAAAAUUUUUUAGUUAGCUUAGUACGAAAGGAUUAGUUAAUAGUAAUAUUUAUACGAAAGGAGUGUA